rnacentral:rRNA from 1 species
GACAGAGGUGGCAAGCGUUGUUCGGAUUUACUGGGCGUAAAGAGCGUGUAGGCGGUUUGGUAGGUCCGCUGUGAAAACUCGAGGCUCAACCUCGAGACGCCGGUGGAAACCAUCAGGCUAGAGUCCGGAAGAGGAGAGUGGAAUUCCUGGUGUAGCGGUGAAAUGCGCAGAUAUCAGGAAGAACACCCGUGGCUAAGGCGGCUCUCUAGUACGGUACUGACGCUGAGACGCGAAAGCGUGGGGAGCGAACAGG